rnacentral:rRNA from 1 species
UUCUCUUCGGAGACGCGAAGCUACCCGACCUGAUGUCAUUUUAUCCGAGGGCGCGCCCGCUUGAGAAGACAGCGGUUUGACGUUGUGGUGUUACCCGGACGAGGCGCUUGUCUCGUAAGGGGAAGCUUCCGGGUCGGGCCGUGGCGCGUUCCUUGGCACAACUUUCCGCGGAAGUGGUAGGCGUUGACUUGCCCGCCGCGGGCCAUACUUUUCACAACUCUCGAAGAAAACCUGAAGUCUGAAUACCAAAACAAAAACGAAAAGCAAAACUUUCAACAACGGAUCUCUUGGCUCUGGCAACGAUGAAGAACGCAGCGAAACGCGAAAGGUAAUGCGAAUUGCAGAAUCAGUGAGUCAUCGAAUCUUUGAACGCACAUUGCGCCUCUCGGUAUUCCGGGAGGCACGCCUGUUCGAGCGCCAUUACAAACUCCAAGCGUGGCUUGAUGUUGGGCGAUGUCUUUUUGCGAGAGCGGGAGACACGCCUGGAACGCGUUGGCGCCGCCGCCGGACCACGAGCGUAGCAAGACGAGAGUCAAUCGCAUCGAUUUGGUUUCCGACGGAGGUCCCCUUGUGACUGCACUUCGAGUGUAGUGAAAAACUCUCAAGUUGUCUCG